AUGUACGACUCAAAAAGACAUGUAGGUGGUGUCACCGACAUUCUGGACAGGGGUUCGAUUCCCCUCAUCUCCACUCAGGGGGAUGCCAUGGCUUCGACAGGGUAUACGGAACAUGACUGAAAACCUGCUCGGAGAGCAAACCACAGAUGCAAAAUCAUCUGACACUGCUGCGAACAACAUCGUAGCGUUCUCUCGUAUUCUUACGAGAGAAUUUGCCCGCACUGACGAACUCGUCACUGCCUAAGGGGCAAUCGGGGAUUAGUCACUCCUUGUUACCCAAGUGACUGUGGGGGCUUUGCCCCC
rnacentral:tmRNA from 1 species